rnacentral:rRNA from 1 species
ACUCCUACGGGAGGCAGCAGUAGGGAAUCUUCCACAAUGGGCGACAAGCCUGAUGGAGCAACACCGCGUGAGUGAAGAAGGGUUUCGGCUCGUAAAGCUCUGUUGUUAAAGAAGAACACGUAUGAGAGUAACUGUUCAUACGUUGACGGUAUUUAACCAGAAAGUCACGGCUAACUACGUGCCAGCAGCCGCGGUAAUACGUAGGUGGCAAGCGUUAUCCGGAUUUAUUGGGCGUAAAGAGAGUGCAGGCGGUUUUCUAAGUCUGAUGUGAAAGCCUUCGGCUUAACCGGAGAAGUGCAUCGGAAACUGGAUAACUUGAGUGCAGAAGAGGGUAGUGGAACUCCAUGUGUAGCGGUGGAAUGCGUAGAUAUAUGGAAGAACACCAGUGGCGAAGGCGGCUACCUGGUCUGCAACUGACGCUGAGACUCGAAAGCAUGGGGUAGCGAACAGGAUUAGAUA